GGCGGGAAGUGACGGGGCCGGUAAACAGGAGCUGUAGCCGUGGCAGCCGGGGCGACAACGACCAGGGAUGGCCAAGGACGCCCUGGGGGCCGCGGGGCUGCACUUCGAUGAGCUGAACAAGCUGAGGGUCCUGGACCCCGAAGUGACCCAACAAACUGUGGAGCUCAAGGAGGAGUGCAAGGACUUUGUGGACAAAAUCGGCCAGUUUCAGAAAAUAGUCGGCGGUUUAAUCGAACUCGUCGACCAACUGGCCAAAGACGCCGAGAGCGAGAAGAUGAAGGUACGGCGAUCGGUGCCCGAAAUCUGCUCAAAUCUAUAGCAAAGCAGAGAGAGGCUCAACAGCAGCAGCUUCAAGCUCUAAUAGCAGAGAAGAAAAUGCAGUUGGAAAGGUAUCGGGUGGAAUACGAGGCCUUGUGUAAAGUAGAAGCAGAACAGAACGAGUUUAUCGACCAGUUUAUUUUUCAGAAAUAAACCAAAAGUGACUUUGAUUGCCCCUGACUCGGCGGAAACCAAACUUGUACCAUUCCAUUUAAGCUCCUGGUUUUCCAGAGCAGCAGCAGCCUGCAGUGUGGGACCGGGAACCCGAACUCGGCAUCUCCAAAGGCAAUAAUCUUUCAGACGUGGUUCUGAACCCCACGAGAACCUGGGAACCCGUAUCAGUGGCCGGGGCUGACCAGAGGAGCCCCAGGAAUGAUUUACUGGGUGAUUUUCGUUUUUCUUUUUACAGUCACCCUUUGUAUACUCUUAUCAGCCUCUGCCCUGCCCCAGCACAGGCAGGCUGGAGAUGACGACCUUCUUUUUUCAACUGUCAAAUGCUUUGAAAGAAAUCAGGCAAUAAAUUAUUGUUUUUAGAAA